rnacentral:lncRNA from 1 species
CAUCAAGGCUGUUUUCAUCCUAGAUAAUGACGGGCGCCGGCUGCUGGCCAAGUAUUAUGAUGACACAUUCCCCUCCAUGAAGGAGCAGAUGGUUUUCGAGAAAAAUGUCUUCAACAAGACCAGCCGGACUGAGACUGAUGCUCAUGUCUGUUCUCACCUGCCUGUUUGAGUCUCUGAACCACAUGUUAAGUGUGAUUCUGGAGAGUGACCCCCAGCAAGUGAUCCAGAAGGUGAAUUUUAGGGCAGAUGAUGGCGGCUUGACUGAACAGAGUGUGGCCCAGGUUCUUCAGUCUGCCAAGGAACAAAUUAAAUGGUCGUUAUUGAAAUGAAGGCUGUGGAUUCAAGGCUCCCUGCCCCCCAGAUCAUUUCCCCAAUCCUGGCAAAAGCCCAAAGAUCCCAGGGUCAGGAGAGACCCCUCUGUAUCCCCAGGUCCCUCCCAGAACUGACUCCUAAGGUCUCCAGCCAGGGCUUCUGAGAUGCAAAGGUUUGGCCUCAGGAGAGUCACCUUUUCUCACGGCCCUGGCCUUAACUCAUAUCUUAGGCAUUCCUGGCCCCAGGGCCCUAAUAAACCUGCUUUUGUCUUCUGCCAA